rnacentral:rRNA from 1 species
GAUGAACGCUGGCGGCGUGCCUAAUACAUGCAAGUCGAGCGAACAGACGAGGAGCUUGCUCCUCUGACGUUAGCGGCGGACGGGUGAGUAACACGUGGAUAACCUACCUAUAAGACUGGGAUAACUUCGGUAAACCGGAGCUAAUACCGGAUAAUAUAUUGAACCGCAUGGUUCAAUAGUGAAAGACGGUUUUGCUGUCACUUAUAGAUGGAUCCGCGCCGCAUUAGCUAGUUGGUAAGGUAACGGCUUACCAAGGCGACGAUGCGUAGCCGACCUGAGAGGGUGAUCGGCCACACUGGAACUGAGACACGGUCCAGACUCCUACGGGAGGCAGCAGUAGGGAAUCUUCCGCAAUGGGCGAAAGCCUGACGGAGCAACGCCGCGUGAGUGAUGAAGGCCUUCGGAUCGUAAAACUCUGUUAUUAGGGAAGAACAAAUGUGUAAGUAACUAUGCACGUCUUGACGGUACCUAAUCAGAAAGCCACGGCUAACUACGUG